rnacentral:piRNA from 1 species
UCACCUGCGUCAUGGAAAGCACCUGAA